rnacentral:rRNA from 1 species
UACGGGAGGCAGCAGUGGGGAAUAUUGCACAAUGGGCGCAAGCCUGAUGCAGCCAUGCCGCGUGUAUGAAGAAGGCCUUCGGGUUGUAAAGUAUUUCAGCAGUGAGGAAGGUGGGUAUGUUAAUAGCAUAUUCAUUUGACGUUAGCUGCAGAAGAAGCACCGGCUAACUCCGUGCCAGCAGCCGCGGUAAUACGGAGGGUGCGAGCGUUAAUCGGAAUUACUGGGCGUAAAGCGCAUGCAGGUGGUUUGUUAAGUCAGAUGUGAAAGCCCGGGGCUCAACCUCGGAAUUGCAUUUGAAACUGGCAAACUAGAGUACUGUAGAGGGGGGUAGAAUUUCAGGUGUAGCGGUGAAAAUGCGUAGAGAUCUGAAGGAAUACCGGUGGCGAAGGCGGCCCCCUGGACAGAUACUGACACUCAGAUGCGAAAGCGUGGGGAGCAAACAGGAUUAGAUACCCUGGUAG